GACGAACGCUGGCGGCGUGGAUUAGGCAUGCAAGUCGAACGGUAUCAUCCUUUCGGGGGUGAGAGAGUGGCGAACUGGUGAGUAACACGUAGGUUAUCUACCCUCAAGACGGGGACAACCCAGGGAAACUUGGGCUAAUACCGGAUGUGAGCAACUUUUAGUUGUUUGAAAGGUGGCGUAAGCUGUCGCUUGGGGAUGAGCCUGCGUCCUAUUAGUUAGUUGGUGAGGUAACGGCUCACCUAGGCAAUGAUAGGUAGGCGGCCUUAACGGGUGGUCGCCCACACUGGGAUUGAGAUACGGCCCAGACUCCUACGGGAGGCAGCAGUCGAGAAUAGUCUACAAUGGUCGGAAGACUGAUAGUGCGACGCCGCGUGAACGAUGAAUCCCUUCGGGGUGUAAAGUUCUUUUAUAUGUGAGCAGUGCUUCUUAUAUUAACAGUAUGGGGAAGAGAUAUUAGCAUAUGAAUAAGCAACGGCUAACUCCGUGCCAGCAGCCGGGUAAG
rnacentral:rRNA from 1 species